rnacentral:rRNA from 1 species
UACGUAGGUGGCAAGCGUUGUCCGGAUUUACUGGGCGUAAAGAGCGCGCAGGCGGUCGUCCAAGUCGCGUGUGAAAGCCCCCGGCUCAACUGGGGAGGGUCACGCGAUACUGAUCGACUCGAAGGCAGGAGAGGGUAGUGGAAUUCCCGGUGUAGUGGUGGAAAUGCGUAGAUAUCGGGAGGAACACCAGUGGCGAAGGCGGCGACCUGGGCCAAUAUUGACGCUGAGGUGCGAAAGCGUGGGGAGCAAACAGG